rnacentral:rRNA from 1 species
UACCAGCUCUCCGAGUGGUGUGGAUGUUUAUUGGGCCUAAAGCAUCCGUAGCUGGCUGGGCAAGUCCCCUGUUAAAUCCACCGAUUCAAUCGUUGGAGUGCGGGGGAUACUGCUCGGCUAGGGGACGGGAGAGGCCGACGGUAUUUUCGGGGUAGGGGUGAAAUCCUAUAAUCCCGGAAAGACCACCAGUGGCGAAGGCUGUCGGCUAGAACGCGCCCGACGGUGAGGGAUGAAAGCUGGGGGAGCGAACCGGAUUAGAUACCCGGGUAGUCCCAGCUGUAAACGAUGCAGGCUAGGUGUUUGGGCGGCCACGUGCCGCUCUAGUGCCGCAGGGAAGUCGUUAAGCCUGCCGCCUGGGGAGUACGGCCGCAAGGCUGAAACUUAAGGAAUUGGCGGGGAGCACCACAAGGCGUGAAGCUUGCGGUUC